rnacentral:rRNA from 1 species
UACGAAGGGGGCUAGCGUUGCUCGGAAUUACUGGGCGUAAAGGGCGCGUAGGCGGCGUGUUAAGUCACUUGUGAAAUCUCUAAGCUUAACUUAGAACGGUCAAGUGAUACUGAUGUGCUAGAGUGCAGAAGGGCACGGAAUUCUUGGUGUAGCGGUGAAAUGCGUAGAUAUCAAGAGGAACACCUGAGGUGAAGACGGGUUGCUGGGCUGACACUGACGCUGAGCGCGAAAGCUAGGGUAGCAAACAGG